AUAGCUACCUGCUCAGUACCUGGGUAGGCAGGCACUGAAGAUCAGCACAAAAGAUGAGCCCCUGACUCUUCCAGGGCCAGGCCGGCUCAGGGACCCCAAAGCCUUUUUUCUUCCAACAGCACAAAUGAGAAGCCACAUUGCAGUAUCAACCUUGAGAAUUUCAAAUACCUUUGAAACAGGCAUCUCACUGGACACAGAAGACACAACUGUGAACAAGUCCAAGAAAGACCCUGUUCUCAGGAAACUGAAAUUCCUGCUAGAAGGUCUGGCAAACCUUCGUUCAGAGAUAUGACAAAAUCAAGGGUUGUGCAAGAAGCAUGGUGCUGGCAUCUGCUCCUGGUUGAGGCCUCAGGAAGCUU